rnacentral:rRNA from 1 species
UACGGGGGGAGCAAGCGUUGUUCGGAUUUAUUGGGCGUAAAGAGCGUGUAGGCGGCUAGGUAGGUCCGUUGUGAAAACUCGAGGCUCAACCUCGAGCUGUCGAUGGAAACCAUCUAGCUAGAGUCCGGAAGAGGAGAGUGGAAUUCCUGGUGUAGCGGUGAAAUGCGCAGAUAUCAGGAAGAACACCCGUGGCGAAGGCGGCUCUCUGGUACGUGACUGACGCUGAGACGCGAAAGCGUGGGGAGCGAACAGG